AGUAAAACUUAUAUCUUGAAGUGCUGGGGAUCCCAAUCCCAGUAGCGGUAAGGAAGUCCGCAAAAAAGAUAGGGUGACUACUUUCACAUUCUAGGUUUUACCCUUCACGACUUCACCAAUCGUCCUCAAGACGUGAUCUGCUACCCAAAUUCAACUGAUAAUCUCUCUGAAUUGAGACAAUGUCAUCCCAUUGGAUGUUUUUCCCAUCAACCAGGAUCAGCACCUCCUGGAGGCUCGCGGUUGUGGAGCAAUACCUCCUUGGCGAACGUCGGAACUCAAAUCACCUACACCUGUCCACCUGGUCAUGCCUUUGAAGGUCUCUGGACCAACACCCUCGACAAUGAAUGUCGAUUCAACGCGACCAUGGGAAUGGCAGUUUGGGAUUUUUGGGAAGAACCCCCAAUGGGAAAGGCCAAUGAUCCUAACCGUUUUCUUCCGACUUGCAUUGGGUAUUGUUUGGACGAAUUGCCAGGUUGGCCCAAUACCACUAGCAACCAGACUUUACUUCAAAACACAACGGGGCAAAUGUUGUGGGUUUCGUGCCAACAUGGUUUUGAGUUUACUGAUAGCAUUUCCGAACAACUGCGGCAACGCAAUAUCCAAGGUCAUUAUUAUAUCGGGACCAGAUCCAUUCGUUGCUCUGAAACUGGGAACUGGUCCGUUCCACUUGGAUUGA